rnacentral:lncRNA from 10 species
GAGCAUGCUCUCUGCCAGAGCUCGGGACUGGUGCUGACCUGCAGGAUGGAGGAGAGAAGAGAAGACUCAUCAACAGAACAAAUGUUGCUGGAACAUUACUUAUAAUGGCAACAAUUGGAAACAAUCAAAGGAUGUCACUAUAGGGACUUGGGUUAAGAAAAUUAUGACACAUCAAAAGAUUAAAAAACAAAACAAAAAACCAAAACUUGAAGAAACGAAGUGACCAGUUCACUACCAUUCAACUAUUAAGGGAUAGAGCCAGGACUCAGUAUCUAGUCAUGUGAUGACAAAGCCCGCACUCUUACUGUACAGCCUCACCUUGGAUAAAUCUCAUUUCAAGACAGGUAAUUUUGAGAAUAUCUUAGGCCCCCCUUCUAUCAAAGAGAGGGAUCGAAUUUAAAAUUUAUCUGGAAUGCCAACUCUGAUUAACUCCCUGGAGAGAGUCCCUGGAGGACUGGUUGAGAAGAACCCUGAGGAUGCAUCAGUGUUCAUCAGGAAAGGGCGCCAACACCCAGCGUGCCCACUCAUGAGCAGGGAGGAGAUGAUGCAUGGGAAUCCACAACUCUAUCUCAAGUUUCCCAGACACACACUAAAGCUCUGCAGAAGAUUUUGGUGCCCCUGAGCUACUUUUACACAGCAAAGAAGACUUCUGAUGUGAUUCCUGGUGGCAGUGCGUAGUAUGCGAUGAUUUCCAUCAGAGUGGCUGGGUUUGUCAAAGCUUUAUUAGAGAUUCCUAUGAUUUGAAGAAAAAGCCAGGGUCCUAUUUUGGCAACUUUUCUGAUAUAAGUAAUAAAAACAAAAUGCCAUGAAUUUAAAUUGUUAGGUUUCUUUUUUACAAAAAGUUUAUACUCAAAAUGUACAAUACCCAAUUACAAGUUGCAUAUGUAUAUAAAAUACCCAAUUAAAAGAUGAAGAAAUAGAAGAAAAUCAACAAAGUCUGUCAACUGAAAUGUUCCUGAAACACCAAGUUUUUGGCCAGGCUCCUAAGACUCCCCACCAGUACAAUACAAACAUUAAAAAUUUUUAAAGCUCAGAAGUAAUUUACUUUUCAGCAGCACCACACGUGAUCAAAACAGGGGGAAGGUUGGAGGAGAAAUAGGCUGUGCCACUAGUUUAUGCGUCUAAACCAAAAUCCAACAACCAUUUCACCUUCCUUGCUAAAGAGAGAAAAGGACCAGGAACUAGCACAGAGUUAACCAUAGGAUUGCUUAUCUGUGAACAAUGAAAU